rnacentral:rRNA from 1 species
UUUCUGGUUGAUCCUGCCGGACCUUACUGCUAUCGGGGUGGGACUAAGACAUGCGAGUCGGGCGUCUCUAGCUAUGUUGAGACGCGGCAUACGGCUCAGUAACACGUGGCUAACCUACCCUCAGGACGGAGACAAACCCGGGAAACUGGGGCUAAUAUCCGAUAGGCGAGGAAUCCUGGAAUGGUUCUUCACCCAAAGGACAUUGGAAACAUGCUUUCUCUGUCGCCUGGGGAUGGGGCCGCGACCGACCAGGUUGUUGGUGAGGUAAUGGCUCACCAAGCCUUUAACCGGUACGGGCCAUGAGAGUGGUAGCCCGGAGAUGGGUACUGAGACAAGGACCCAGGCCCUACGGGGCGCAGCAGUCGCGAAAACUCCGCAAUGCACGAAAGUGUGACGGGGCUACCCCGAGUGCCGUCCGCUGAGGAUGGCUUUUCCUUGGUAUAACUAGCCGAGGGAAUAAGGAGAGGGCAAGACUGGUGUCAGCCGCCGCGGUAAUACCAGCUCUCCGAGUGGUAGGGAUGAUUAUUGGGCUUAAAGCGUCCGUAGCCGGGCUUAGCAAGUUUCCUGUUAAAUUCAGCGACCUAAUCGUUGAGCCGCGGGAAAUACUACUAGGCUAGGAGGCGGGAGAGGUCGACGGUACUUCUGGGGUAGGGGUGAAAUCCUAUAAUCCCGGGAAGACCACCAGUGGCGAAGGCUGUCGGCUAGAACGCGCCCGACGGUGAGGGAUGAAAGCUGGGGGAGCGAACCGGAUUAGAUACCCGGGUAGUCCCAGCUGUAAACGAUGCAGGCUAGGUGUUUGGGCGGCCACGAGCCGCUCUAGUGCCGCAGGGAAGCUGUUAAGCCUGCCGCCUGGGGAGUACGGCCGCAAGGCUGAAACUUAAAGGAAUUGGCGGGGGGAGCACCACAAGGGGUGAAGCUUGCGGUUUAAAUGGGAGUCAACGCCGGAAAUCUCACCGGGAGCGACAGCAGGUUGAAGGCCAGAUUGAAGGUCUUGCCAGACGAGCUGAGAGGAGGUGCAUGGCCGUCGCCAGUUCGUGCCGUGAGGUGUCCUGUUAAGUCAGGCAACGAUCGAGACCCGCGUCCUCUGUUGCAACUAGUCUAGAGCUAGGCACACUGAGGAGACCGCCGCUGAUAAAGCGGAGGAAGGAGCGGGCCACGGCAGGUCAGUAUGCCCCGAAUCUCCCGGGCCACACGCGAGCUGCAAUGGCAGGUACAAUGGGUUCCGACCUCGUAAGGGGAAGGCAAUCUCGAAAGCCUGCCGUAGUUGGGAUUGAGGGUUGAAACCCACCCUCAUGAACAUGGAAUCCCUAGUAAUCGCGUGUCACUAGCGCGCGGUGAAUACGUCCCUGCUCCUUGCACACACCGCCCGUCGUUCCACCCGAGUGACUCUUGGGUGAGGCGUGGUCUUACUUGGCUGCGUCGAAUCUGAGUUUCGCAAGGGGGGAAAAGUCGUAACAAGGUAACC